rnacentral:ncRNA from 1 species
AAUAGAACAUAGCACCUAGGUUCUUAAAACAAGAUUUUAAGAUGAAAAGGGAAGUUGGUGACAUUCCAACACGGUCCCGCCACUGUGAGCAUGGAGCAAACAGCCUAAUAUCCACUGUAAGUUUCUUAUGGGAAGGUCGCUGUUAUGCAACGAAGUGUAAGUCAGGAGACCUGCCUAGAGUGUCUGUCAAGA